GAUGAACGCUGGCGGCGUGCCUAAUACAUGCAAGUCGAGCGAACGGACGAGAAGCUUGCUUCUCUGAUGUUAGCGGCGGACGGGUGAGUAACACGUGGAUAACCUACCUAUAAGACUGGGAUAACUUCGGGAAACCGGAGCUAAUACCGGAUGAUAUUUUGAACCGCAUGGUUCAAAAGUGAAAGACGGUCUUGCUGUCACUUAUAGAUGGAUCCGCGCUGCAUUAGCUAGUUGGUAAGGUAACGGCUUACCAAGGCAACGAUGCAUAGCCGACCUGAGAGGGUGAUCGGCCACACUGGAACUGAGACACGGUCCAGACUCCUACGGGAGGCAGCAGUAGGGAAUCUUCCGCAAUGGGCGAAGGCCUGACGGAGCAACGCCGCGUGAGUGAUGAAGGUCUUCGGAUCGUAAAACUCUGUUAUUAGGGAAGAACAUAUGUGUAAGUAACUGUGCACAUCUUGACGGUACCUAAUCAGAAAGCCACGGCUAACUACGU
rnacentral:rRNA from 1 species